rnacentral:rRNA from 1 species
UACGGAGGGGGGCUAGCGUUGUUCGGAAUUACUGGGCGUAAAGCGCACGUAGGCGGCUUUGUAAGUUAGAGGUGAAAGCCCGGGGCUCAACUCCGGAAUUGCCUUUAAGACUGCAUCGCUAGAAUUGUGGAGAGGUAAGUGGAAUUCCGAGUGUAGAGGUGAAAUUCGUAGAUAUUCGGAAGAACACCAGUGGCGAAGGCGACUUACUGGACACAUAUUGACGCUGAGGUGCGAAAAGCGUGGGGGAGCAAACAGGAUUAA